rnacentral:rRNA from 1 species
UACGUAGGUUGCAAGCGUUGUCCGGAAUUAUUGGGCGUAAAGCGCGCGCAGGCGGUCCUUUAAGUCUGAUGUGAAAGCCCACGGCUAAACCGUGGAGGGUCAUUGGAAACUGGGGGACUUGAGUGCAGAAGAGGAAAGCGGAAUUCCACGUGUAGCGGUGAAAUGCGUAGAGAUGUGGAGGAACACCAGUGGCGAAGGCGGCUGUCUGGUCUGUAACUGACGCUGAGGCGCGAAAGCGUGGGGAGCAAACAGG